rnacentral:rRNA from 1 species
AUUGAACGCUGGCGGCAGGCCUAACACAUGCAAGUCGAGCGGAUGAAGGGAGCUUGCUCCUGGAUUCAGCGGCGGACGGGUGAGUAAUGCCUAGGAAUCUGCCUGGUAGUGGGGGAUAACGUCCGGAAACGGGCGCUAAUACCGCAUACGUCCUGAGUGAGGAAGUGGGGGAUCUUCGGACCUCACGCUAUCAGAUGAGCCUAGGUCGGAUUAGCUAGUUGGUGGGGUAAAGGCCUACCAAGGCGACGAUCCGUAACUGGUCUGAGAGGAUGAUCAGUCACACUGGAACUGAGACACGGUCCAGACUCCUACGGGAGGCAGCAGUGGGGAAUAUUGGACAAUGGGCGAAAGCCUGAUCCAGCCAUGCCGCGUGUGUGAAGAAGGUCUUCGGAUUGUAAAGCACUUUAAGUUGGGAGGAAGGGCAGUAAGUUAAUACCUUGCUGUUUUGACGUUACCAACAGAAUAAGCACCGGCUAACUUCGUG